UACGUAGGGUGCAAGCGUUAAUCGGAAUUACUGGGCGUAAAGCGUGCGCAGGCGGUCUGUUAAGACCGAUGUGAAAUCCCCGGGCUUAACCUGGGAACUGCAUUGGUGACUGGCAGGCUUUGAGUGUGGCAGAGGGAGGUAGAAUUCCACGUGUAGCAGUGAAAUGCGUAGAGAUGUGGAGGAACACCGAUGGCGAAGGCAGCCCCCUGGGCCGACAUUGACGCUCAGGCACGAAAGCGUGGGGAGCAAACAGG
rnacentral:rRNA from 1 species